AAUUGUAAGAUGAUUAGUUCCUGUAAAUUGUCUUUCAUGACAGAAAGUUCACACACAUCCUUUCACUGCCCUCCAUCCAUUACCUGGAGUCUCAAACAGAACAAUCAAUGUAUUAUGAUGUAAAUAGAAAGGGCAAUCGUGUCUGUCAAGACCAGGGCUUGUAAGAGAAGCAGAAACGUGCUGGUUUUCUGAUGCUCUGAGUCAUCUUCCCAGGGUCAGUUACUUCUCAACUUAUGGAAAAAUAGAUGCACAGGUAACAAAGUCCUUGCCAUUUUCUCAGGAAAGGAGGCUUACUGGAAAUCUACCAUGUUUGGGGCAAGAGAAAUGGAUAUGGCAACUUACAAAGAUGAUCAAAGCCCUGCUACACAGUUUACUGUCCAGCAAAGGAGGUACAUAUUGUACCAGUAACUAUAACAAAAUGUGAGCUUUACAAUGAAGGACAUUCAUGCUAUUAGGAAAAUAUGAAGCACAGGUGCUGAACCUAAUAUAGGAAUCUGGGGAAGAUUUCUUCAACAAAUUAUUUUGCAAUGAAUUAAUUAAUUAAUGUAAAUUGAC
rnacentral:lncRNA from 1 species